rnacentral:rRNA from 1 species
GACGAACGCUGGCGGCGUGCCUAAUACAUGCAAGUUGAGCGCUGAAGGUUGGUACUUGUACCAACUGGAUGAGCAGCGAACGGGUGAGUAACGCGUGGGGAAUCUGCCUUUGAGCGGGGGACAACAUUUGGAAACGAAUGCUAAUACCGCAUAAAAACUUUAAACACAAGUUUUAAGUUUGAAAGAUGCAAUUGCAUCACUCAAAGAUGAUCCCGCGUUGUAUUAGCUAGUUGGUGAGGUAAAGGCUCACCAAGGCGAUGAUACAUAGCCGACCUGAGAGGGUGGUCGGCCACAUUGGGACUGAGACACGGCCCAAACUCCUACGGGAGGCAGCAGUAGGGAAUCUUCGGCAAUGGACGAAAGUCUGAACGAGCAACGCCGCGUGGGUGAAGAAGGUUUUCGGAUCGUAAAACUCUGUUGGUAGAGAAGAACGUUGGUGGGAGUGGAAAGCUCAUCAAGUGACGGUAACUACCCAGAAAGGGACGGCUAACUACGUG